ensembl:lncRNA
GCUUGCUCCAGACCCUGGCGUUGUGUACCUCUUUCGUUUUUCCAACCACGGAAAUCGGUGAACCGAUCGGUGCGCUUUGAUUUUUGGUAUGGGGAUAGGUUGCGUUUAUCUGUAGUUUUGCCGCAGAUCUAGCAUACGUGAACCAGGAAACCACAGACAACUUAGACAAAAGAAACCUCGCGGUGUGAAUCUAGAUACGCGGACCCGUAUUCUUUCUGCUACUGUCGUUUGUCUUCGAACCAAACCGACCCUUCCUCGCGCAAUAAUUUCCUCCUGUUUGGAGAGGAAGGGUGUUAGCUUUUAAAGUGAAAUCUCACCAGUUCGUAUACUUUGUGGUUCGUAACGUGUUGCUCUAGCUUAUCACCCACUUUAUCAAAUUACUGAUAUCUAAAACAAAAGGACAAUCUGUAAAGUGCUGCGGUCAAUAGCGUCUCUGUGCAAUGCCCCAGUUGUUAAAUUGGAGCCCAGAUGGGGAAUAAACAAAACCGUAAUCUAUAGCACGUACUUUUAAGGAAGCAGAUCGCACGUUUAUUUAAAAUAACGCAUAGGGCAGAUUCUUCUCACGGAUUUCUCAUCUCAAAAGUACGAUAUAGCCACAGUUUCUUUGUCCCUUCUGUUUUAAACUGUAAGCCACAACGAAAAACCCUUAGCACUAGCUUUGACUGAAGCGGAAGAGGACUGUUUCGAGACGGGAUUCUGGAUUUACCCGCUGGUGGAGACAGACUGUGCGUGCGUUAGUGAGCAGAGCAGAGUAGAGGAGCGCUCACUGAGACCACCUCCCGCCGGCUUGCUGCCAUGCACCUAACCGUCUGACUGUCUCGGCAUCCGGAUCAGCUUGUUUGUCUUAACCACGCAAAACGUAGCUAACCACAAGCCUGGUACCGAUGUGGCUGAGGAGAAGAUCAGCUUGUUUGGUGUGUAUGGUCUGAGCUGGAGCCCUGCCUGCCUGCUGCCCUGCCCGGUGAAUGCGCUCCCCCACAGCUCACCAGCUGCCUUGGGCUGUGCUGCACCAGCCUCCCACUACCACAG